rnacentral:lncRNA from 1 species
GUAACUGUACGUUAUCGCCAGAAUGCAUUGUUGUUUUUGAAUGGGAAACAUGCUUUUUGGCACCGCCAGUCACUGAAUGGUGGUGUGUUUCCAGCAGGGUUUCGUUAACAGCUGCAGCACGUCUUUCGAAAGGCGACAGUCACGUGACUUGGCGUCAUACAUUCGGCGUCGCACAGCAGCUCAGUCGCUUGUUUUAUUUCUUCUUAUAUAUUUUUUUCAAACCGCAGUUGAUCAAUGCUCUUAAAAUUGUGGUAUCAUCGUUAGAAAAUCUGUAUCGAGGAAUUUGACUGAUUUACAUCCACACAUCUGCAUCUGGGAGGCUCUGGAAUUAAAUAGUCAUGACUGAGCGAGUGUUUGUGUUUGUUGAUGAAGAGGAGCUUUUCAGCGUGAUGAAGGAUCUUGACUGUCUGUACUGUAGGAACCCAGUGACUGCAUCUAAACAUCACCUCAAAAAGAGACAUCUCCGAUUCGCUGUGUAUUAUAAAGACUCUGGCAUUGGUAAUUGACCAGUAACCAUUUCUACAACACACAUCUUGCAGAGAGGUAGUAUUUUACACCCGUUCUCAACUCAAAUGCUGUCUGCUCUUUCUGACAGGGAAGUUUUCUAUCCCCUGUUAUUGUUCUGAUGGAGGCCAUGGCAGGAGCCACUGGCAUUGCCCAAUGUGCUCAAAAAUAUUGCAAAGGACAAAGGAUUACAAAAUCCAUAUUACCAACCACGGUGUUGAGAUGACUGACAAAUCCACAGUUGAGCUACAACCUACAACAGUCCUGUUGGAGAGCCAACAAACAGACAACGAAGACAAGACUCUGGGCAACAAGUCAGCGUGCCAAAAGUGUGGCAUCUUCUUCACCACCACAUCAAAUUUGAGACGGCACGAGAGACUACAGCACAGCCAGAACCAGCAGCCCAUGUUAUGCAUAGAUGCCAAAAAUGCCAUCUAUGUUACACCUAAGGAUCUGCACGGACCUAGAGUGCCCAUUCAUAUCCGCAAAUCCUUCGCCUUACAGAUACUGCUGUGUGAGCUGGAGGAAUGCUGGGAUUUCAUGAAAGCACAGGCCCAGAGCGGGAAUCCUGGUAAAGAGUGCCGUCACCUCGUGAGAACUAAUCACGCGCAGCACUACGUUCCCCCUCCACCGCUGUGUGUCAGCUCUCUGGAGGAGAUGACCGACAAACACCUCCUGUCCAUAUCGGAGAAACAAGAGUGCCAGGAGAUGAACUCCAGGGCAUGUUUAGAGGGAGCCGAUUGUGUGUACCCUAUUUUUUGGGGGGAGCAUGACCUUCCAGAGAGAUGUGUCUACUUUUCUGUGUACACAGACCUCAAGGACAAAUGGUGUCAGUUUGGGAGGACACGCGUCUCGUUUGACACCAAGUCUGGCAGCUGGAAGUGUCUAUGUGAACACAAAAGAAACCGUUGCGUCCACAAGCAUUUAUCUAUGUGGUGGUUGUUUCAGGAGCAUCCCAGAUUGUUGCAAAAUGCCCUAGAUAUCAACGCUGAAAGAGUCGACGUGGUCAUGGAUGAAGAGGUUAAAAUGUGUCCUGAGGGUGACAACCUCUGCUAGCCUCGACAUCCAUCAGAACUGCACUCUCGUGUUCUGUCUUCACUCAAUAAAAACACUUGCCAUACACUUUAUUUUGCCUUGUAGUUUGUUAACAGUUGGUUUGCAAAAAUUCAUGUGCUGUGCUGUGCUAUGUUUAGUGUUGUGGG